rnacentral:misc_RNA from 1 species
AAUUUGGGGAACUGCGAAAAGAGGUGUACUAUUAUCACGUGAUCAAAAUAAAACCUGACAUGUCAGGAUGGCGGUAGUGCAUCAAAAUAUCGAGUUCCAGCACUUGAAUUUCCUUCUCAAGGCAAGUGGGAAAGAGGUCGUUCAGCGCGCAUGUGAACAUGCCUUUCUCUAUCAUAAUGUCAUCUCCUUUCCGAUAGAGGUCAUAGCUAAGAUGGCUGAUGGAUUGGGAAUCAACAUAAAAGAUGCCGAAAAGCUUCUAGAGACACUAAGGAAAGUGAUUAAACACACUCUCUGCAUUGGAUGCACUGAUGCUGCUUCUGUCCAUGCUGUUUUCCCUGCUAAUUUUCACAAAAACCUGAAGGAACUUUUAUCCAGAAUAAUAGGUGACAAAUUAGACAAGUGGAGACAGAUAGCAAUAGAAAACAAAGUUUCCCAACCAAAGCUGGUAGACUUUGAUUGGAGGGUGGACAUCAAAACCUCGUCAGAUACCUUAGCCAGAAUGUCAGUACCAACAUGUAUCCUGCAGUUACAGAUUGAGGAGACUGCAUCCAACUCCCAUCUCAUGCCUGGCCUGUCAACCCAGAAUGUAGAGUUGAGCAAAGAGACGUUAGAUACCAUGCUGGAUGGGUUAGGCAAAAUACGAGACCAACUCAACUCUGUAGCAUCCAGAAAGUGAGGUGGGAAAUGAAAUUUGGAGGCAAAAUCAUGGACCAGCUUGACUCUGUCGCAUCCAGGAAAUGAGCUAAACUGUCAAUCCAGUCCGGGUGAUUCGCAAUAUGGUGCACUAUCUGUCGGUGGCUGCGAGCAGACCAAAUUUCUAACUUCAGGGUCGACAUCGUGCGCAGGUGUAUGGUAAUGUGACAGUGAAAAUUUCUCUUCCAUCUCCUGGACUGCAGUAACGGUUUAUUAAAAAUUCUGUAGCAGCCAAAAACUGAAUUGCAGAAAUUUUUACAAGUAAUAGUAUGAACAUGAUAAUAAGUUACAUAAUUACAAUAUGCUUACGAUCUCUUUAUUAAAACAAACUUGCCUAGAUAAACGAGUACGUAAUAUAUCAUGCAUUAUUUGAAUUAAAAAAGUAUAGGCACAUUAAAAAAAGACAAUUCAAUUAAGACACAAACACCAUGCCCAUCAACUUUAAUUAAGAAACGGGCAUUACAGUAAGAACAGUUUGAUUUUGCAGAAGUGAAAAAGGAAGGGUAGUAGAGAUAGAACAGAAAAAUCAGGCAUGAACAGCAUAGAUACAUGGCAUUUUGCAAGCAAGUCGAGCCGCUUCACCGGCCGGCACUGAAAAAUCAAAUGUAUGCAUGCACUAUCAUAGCGCGCACAACAGAUAUCGACUUUUUCCCAUGAGGCAUUGUAAAUUUCGGCCUGAUCGCUGCAACCGAUAGAUGGCGCACUGCAUUUUGAAUCCACCGAAUUUCGUGAUUUUGCAUUUACACAAAAUGGAAGAAAAUUAAAUUAUGGCUGUAAUGUUUCUGUUUCUGUUUGUGGUACAUGUAACUCCCAUAAAACUCGGCAGGACAG